rnacentral:rRNA from 1 species
UACGUAGGGGGCUAGCGUUGUCCGGAAUCAUUGGGCGUAAAGAGCGUGUAGGCGGCCCGGUAAGUCCGCUGUGAAAGUCGGGGGCUCAACCCUCGGAUGCCGGUGGAUACUGUCGGGCUCGAGUACGGAAGAGGCGAGUGGAAUUCCUGGUGUAGCGGUGAAAUGCGCAGAUAUCAGGAGGAACACCAAUGGCGAAGGCAGCUCGCUGGGACGUGACUGACGCUGAGACGCGAAAGCGUGGGGAGCAAACAGG